UUAUAAUUUCUAGCAAAUCAACUGUAAUAUAAAAAAAGAAAAAAACACGACUGGACAAAUGAGAUUCAUUGAGGGGUGGCAGAUAACAAUUUCGGCAUUUCUGCAACUUUGGGAAAACCUACAUAGUGAAAGACACUCCUAUAUUGACAAGGAAUAUAAAUCAGGACUGUGGAAAAUUAUUUUGAUCAACUUAGAAAUACUUGUGGAAAUGCCAGAAACCCAACUCCUAUUCAAAUUACCAGAGCUUUCAAAAACACAUUUACUCUUCAGUAUUUCACACAGGCAGAAGGAACUAACUGUCUAGAAGAUAUUAGUGAGAUUCUAUGUAGUAUUACAGAUGCAGACAUAAAUAGAAGGAAGUUUCUUGUGGAAGUCCAAAAAAUCCCUAUAAAAAACUUUGAGAGUAGGGACAAAUGAUUAUAGAACUCUAGCCACUCCAGAAGGCAACAGGUUGGGCUAUGUUUGUGGAUAUUUUUUGAGAAAAUGUUUAAGAAAACAUUCAUGAGAAGAUAGUAUAAAUUUUGUCACGGCAGCUAGUACGACACUGAAUGAAACAAAUUUAAAAUGCCUGGUCGUAUUUGUGCAGUGUCAACUUGCAAAAGAAAUCAGUUGACUUUAAAGAAAAGUGGUGUUACUGAUGUAAUAUUUCACUAUUUUCCUUUUUGCACAACUUUGCAAAAAGAAUGGAUUCGUCGCUGCAAAAGAGGGGAUACAUUCAUUCUCAAAAAUGGAUUUGUUUGUUCCAAAUAUUUUGCAGAAAAUGAUUAUGAACGAUACCUUGAAAAUGAAUUGUUUGCCUUUGCGUCGUAAAUGAAAAAAACUGCAGUACCUAGUGUUAACCUAAGUUAUCCAACAAUUGAUAAAGAGAGGGAAGUUUUACAGAAUACAAGUCGCAAUAUUAGAGCCUUACAGAAAAAACACAGUGAAACUAUCAGUAUGUUACUUGAAUCAAAUUUGGAUAAUUUUAAACCAUCCACAUCUUAAAGUUGCUCUUUUCCUCAUAAUAUUGUAUCUCCUCAACCUCAAGCUGAUCAACAAAAUAUCCAAGGAGAAUAAUAAAAAAUAAAAACCGUAUCAUGUAUUUUCUGUCAGAUAAAUAAAAAAAGUUGUUACACCUAUAAACAAUUUAUUACUUAUAUAUAUUUUUGAUUAUUGAGCGUUUAUUAUAAAAGAUGGAACAAAAAGUUAUACAUUUUUUUUAGAUAAUGCUAUUAUUUAAAACAAAGUUCAUUACAAAAUUUUUAUGGGAGUUACAGUUUUCACGAAAAUAAUAAAAACUGAUGACACCUCUUACUUUUAAAAAGGGAAAAAUGGCUC
rnacentral:lncRNA from 1 species